rnacentral:rRNA from 1 species
AGUGAACGCUGGCGGUAGGCCUAACACAUGCAAGUCGAACGGCAGCACAGUAAGAGCUUGCUCUUACGGGUGGCGAGUGGCGGACGGGUGAGGAAUACAUCGGAAUCUACUUUUUCGUGGGGGAUAACGUAGGGAAACUUACGCUAAUACCGCAUACGAUCUACGGGUGAAAGCAGGGGAUCUUCGGACCUUGCGCGAUUGAAUGAGCCGAUGUCGGAUUAGCUAGUUGGCGGGGUAAAGGCCCACCAAGGCGACGAUCCGUAGCUGGUCUGAGAGGAUGAUCAGCCACACUGGAACUGAGACACGGUCCAGACUCCUACGGGAGGCAGCAGUGGGAAUAUUGGACAAAGGGCGCAAGCCUGAUCCAGCCAUACCGCGUGGGUGAAGAAGGCCUUCGGGUUGUAAAGCCCUUUUGUUGGGAAAGAAAAGCAGCAGGUUAAUACCCCGCUGUUCUGACGGUACCCAAAGAAUAAGCACCGGCUAACUUCGUG